rnacentral:rRNA from 1 species
UACAGAGGGUGCAAGCGUUAAUCGGAAUUACUGGGCGUAAAGCGUGCGUAGUCGGUUAUUUAAGUCGGGCGUGAAAGCCCGGGGCUCAACUCCGGAAUUGCCUUUAAGACUGCAUCGCUAGAAUUGUGGAGAGGUAAGUGGAAUUCCGAGUGUAGAGGUGAAAUUCGUAGAUAUUCGGAAGAACACCAGUGGCGAAGGCGACUUACUGGACACAUAUUGACGCUGAGGUGCGAAAGCGUGGGGAGCAAACAGG